rnacentral:rRNA from 1 species
AUUGAACGCUGGCGGCAGGCCUAACACAUGCAAGUCGAACGGUAACAGGAAGCAGCUUGCUGCUUUGCUGACGAGUGGCGGACGGGUGAGUCAUGUCUGGGAAACUGCCCGAUGGAGGGGGAUAACUACUGGAAACGGUAGCUACUACCGCAUAACGUCGCCAGCACAAAGAGGGGGACCUUAGGGCCUCUUGCCAUCGGAUGUGCCCAGAUGGGAUUAGCUAGUAGGUGGGGUAACGGCUCACCUAGGCGACGAUCCCUAGCUGGUCUGAGAGGAUGACCAGCCACACUGGAACUGAGACACGGUCCAGACUCCUACAGGAGGCAGCAGUGGGGAAUAUUGCACAAUGGGCGCAAGCCUGAUGCAGCCAUGCCGCGUGUAUGAAGAAGGCCUUCGGGUUGUAAAGUACUUUCAGCGGGGAGGAAGGGAGUAAAGUGAAUACCUUUGCUCAUUGACGUUACCCGCAGAAGAAGCACCGGCUAACUCCGUG